GCCCAAGAGAUCGGGAUAACACCUGGAAACAGAUGCUAAUACCGGAUAACAACAGAUGAUGCCUAUCAACUGUUUAAAAGAUGGUUCUGCUAUCACUCUUGGAUGGACCUGCGGUGCAUUAGCUAGUUGGUAGGGUAACGGCCUACCAAGGCGAUGAUGCAUAGCCGAGUUGAGAGACUGAUCGGCCACAUUGGGACUGAGAUACGGCCCAGACUCCUACGGGAGGCAGCAGUC
rnacentral:rRNA from 1 species